rnacentral:rRNA from 1 species
GACAGAGGUCCCGAGCGUUAGGCGGAAUCACUGGGCUUAAAGCGUGUGUAGGCGGCGGCCUAAGUACCUUGUGAAACCCCACGGCUCACCCGUGGAACUGCUCGGUAUACUGGGUCGCUUGAGCCACUUAGGGGCUACCGGAACAAAUGGUGGAGCGGUGAAAUGCGUAGAUAUCAUUUGGAACGCCAAUGGUGAAAACAGGUAGCUGGGAGUGUGCUGACGCUGAGACACGAAAGCCAGGGGAGCAAACGGG